GAUGAAGAACGCAGCGAAAUGCGAUAAGUAAUGUGAAUUGCAGAAUUCAGUGAAUCAUCGAAUCUUUGAACGCACAUUGCGCCCUCUGGUAUUCCGGGGGGCAUGCCUGUUCGAGCGUCAUUAUAACCACUCAAGCUCUCGCUUGGUAUUGGGGUUCGCGGUUCCGCGGCCCCUAAAAUCAGUGGCGGUGCCUGUCGGCUCUACGCGUAGUAAUACUCCUCGCGAUUGAGUCCGGUAGGUCUACUUGCCAGCAACCCCCAAUUUUUACAGGUUGACCUCGGAUCAGGUAGGGAUACCCGCUGAACUUAAGCAUAUCAAUAAGCGGAGA
rnacentral:misc_RNA from 1 species